CUCUCUUGAUGCGCCUACCCUUCUUCUCUCCGAACCCAAUCAAAACCCCACUGUUUCAUCUCUUCUUUAUCUCUAGCUCGCCCCGAUCUAUCUCUAUAAACUCGUCCAGAUUCUUUUCAACUCGGAGAUCGUCACUUCCUAGAAUGGCGAUCCCUCCUAAGCUAGCUUCUUCUUCCUACUCCUCCAUCGCCACUACCGCUGCGGGAAGCAUCGAGGAAGGUCUCGCUGGUAAAUUCUGGGUCAAGUUCCGCCGAG
rnacentral:misc_RNA from 1 species